GCCGCGGUAUCCUAACCGUGCAAAGGUAGCGCAAUCAAUUGUCCCAUAAAUCGAGACUAGUAUGAAUGGCUAAACGAGGUCUUAACUGUCUCUUACAGGCAAUCGGUGAAAUUGAUCUCCCUGUGCAAAAGCAGGGAUAACAACAUAAGACGAGAAGACCCUGUGGAACUUCAAAAUCAGCAGCCACCCCAUAACACAUUCACACCCACCGGGUACACGCACCUAUGAGCAACUGGCCUGCAUUUUUUGGUUGGGGCGACCUUGGAGAAAAACAAAUCCUCCAAAAAUUGGACCAUACAUCUAGACUAAGAGCAACCUCUCAAAGUGCUAAUAGCAACCAGAUCCAAUAUAAUUGAUCAAUGGACCAAGCUACCCCAGGGAUAACAGCGCAAUCUCCUCCGAGAG
rnacentral:rRNA from 1 species